AAUCUUCCACAAUGGUCAAAAGUCGGAUGGAGCAACGCCGCGUGAGGUAAGAAGAAUUUCUGUUCGAAAACUCGGUUGCAAGGGAAGAACAAGUAGCGUAGUAACUGGCGCAACCUUGAUGUUACCUUGUUAGAACGCCACUGCUAAACACGUACAAGCAGCCGCGGUAAUACGUAGGUGGCAAGCGUUGGCCGGAAUUAUUGGGCCUAAAGCGCGCGCAGGUGGUUCCUUAAGUCUGAUGUGAAAGCCCCCGGCUCAACCGGGGAGGGUCAUUGGAAACUGGGGAACUUGAGUGCAGAAGAGGAUAGUGGAAUUCCAAGUGUAGCGGUGAAAUGCGUAGAGAUUUGGAGGAGCACCAGUGGCGAAGGCGACUGUCUGGUCUGUAACUGACACUGAGGCGCGAAAGCGUGGGGAGCAAAC
rnacentral:rRNA from 1 species